rnacentral:rRNA from 1 species
GAUGAACGCUGGCGGCGUGCCUAAUACAUGCAAGUCGAGCGAACGGACGAGAAGCUUGCUUUUCUGAUGUUAGCGGCGGACGGGUGAGUAACACGUGGAUAACCUAUCUAUAAGACUGGGAUAACUUCGGGAAACCGGAGCUAAUACCGGAUAAUAUUUUGAACCGCAUGGUUCAAAAGUGAAAGACGGUCUUGCUGUCGCUUAUAGAUGGAUCCGCGCUGCAUUAGCUAGUUGGUAAGGUAACGGCUUACCAAGGCAACGAUGCAUAGCCGACCUGAGAGGGUGAUCGGCCACACUGGAACUGAGACACGGUCCAGACUCCUACGGGAGGCAGCAGUAGGGAAUCUUCCGCAAUGGGCGAAAGCCUGACGGAGCAACGCCGCGUGAGUGAUGAAGGUCUUCGGAUCGUAAAACUCUGUUAUUAGGGAAGAACAUAUGUGUAAGUAACUGUGCACAUCUUGACGGUACCUAAUCAGAAAGCCACGGCUAACUACGUG